rnacentral:lncRNA from 1 species
AAAAUCUGUAUUAUUUUCACAUGUAAUUGAAAAUGAAAGAAAAAAAGCAAUUAACAUCCCAGUAUUUUUGAAAUGUGCUUAUUUUUUAUUUAUUUUUGUUUGUUUAUUUUGCUCUGAAGACCAAAUUUCAAGAGAAAUACUUGAACUGCUUGGUUAGUCAUAAGUUUAGCAAAGAUUGCCAUUGGUUAUAAACUUGAUACGAAUCAGCAUUGCUGCGCUAUGGUGGUAAAGCUACCGCUAUUCUGAGUGGUGUUAACUAAGUAUGAGGCAAAAGAAAUCAGAAUUGAUACUUCCAGCAAUCUUUGUCAGACUUUUACUUUGAAAAACUAUCUAGUUUUGCUCAUGAAUAUUUAUUAUGCAUCUUCUAUCUAUCCCAGGCUCUGUGCUGGGCAUCGAUGACAUAAUGGGGGAAAGUUUUAUCCCCUCUUGCCCCUGCUUUGAAGUGCCAACUUCCUCUCCAUUACUGUACGGACCCAGUGCUCACAAACACCUUCCUCAGAAUUUCCCAGGAUCUCUUGAGCUUCCAGAAUGGUUCUGACUCAUUGUUUAUAUCAGCAGAAAUCACUGGGAAUUGCCUGGGGCGCUGCCUACCUUCAAGGUGAAGCUGGGCAUGUGGCGGGAGUCAUGAUGAAGCCUGGGCUUCAGGAGGCUGUGCCCGCUAUUGCUUGCUCUUCUGGAAGCCUGCCUCCCCCAGGUGACCAGACCCAGACCAGCCUGCUGGGAAACGAGAAGCCACUUGGAAGAAAGCCACAGUGUCCUGACCGACAAUAAACCAGACCCCGGGUGAUUCCAGACAUGGCCCAAAUUACUGACCACAGAGCCAAAAUAACGGUGAUGAUUUUUAAGCCAUUGAAUUUGUAGUUUAUUAUGCUAUAAAAGUUAAUUGAUGGAAUCCUUACUUUACUGAGUCUGGUGGUCCUUGCCAUUCUUACCUUGUAAAUAUCACCUUCUAACAUUUACCCUAAACUAAGAAAUCCUUGCUGUACGCCUAGUUGGAAAAUUAAUGAAGAUGAGGCUCUAUCGCUGUAACAUUUAUAUCUGUGAUGGUAUCAGCCCUCUGUUAAAAGAUUGAACAGCUGGUUACUGCCUUCUGAAUAAUUCUCAAGCUUAUUAAUCCAACAUUUAAGACCCGCCACAAUUUGGUUUUAGCCCACCCUUUCAGCCUUGUAUCUAAUUUCAUUCAAAAUAUUUUUUUUUUUGUCCUGGGCUAUCUGGAUUACUCUGUUUUCCCAGUUUUCUGUGCUGUCCCACCUCUUCCCAUUCUUCACACUGUUUCCACUACCUGGAAUGCCUUUCCCCUCAUCUCUGCAAGGUCAAAUCCUGCGUAACAGCCAAGGUUCAUUUCAAACACGAACUCUCUAAUGAUACUUUUCUAAAACAUCCUCAUCCGAAGGGAUGAUUUCUUCCUCCCCUUGAAAGGCUGGAAGAGCUUGCCUUCCAGCCUUCAGGAGGCCCCCAGGGGUCUGGGGUUCUCGCUGCUUUGACCACACUGUCUGGGAUCACCUCUGCCAUCAUCGUCACUGAACUACUGAACACGUGUCGUGCUAGACCCUCCUGUUACUAGCUCAUUUAGUCCUCUUAAUUAUCCUGUCCAGGAAGCGCUAUUGCUUUCAGCUCCUAUGUGAUAAAAGUGAGGCUCGAAAACCUAAGUAAUUGGUCCAGGGUACCACCACUCUUGAGUGGCAGGUGUAGCAGUAAAGCUGAGCUUUUAUGGUGUCUCUUAGGAUGCCCUCACAGCCUCUUGUGCAGGGACACACAGCCAUUGCUAAGU